GGACACACUGUGCAGGGCUAGAAUGCCUCCCCUGAGCAGGGCAGGGCGUGUGCUCCAGCAGAUCCUCUCUCCCUGCCCUCGCCCUCUUCCUUCUUCUCCAUUUCCUCGUUGGAUGAAAGUCCUGAAACAAAUCAAGUCAGGCUUACCUGUUAGAGACCCCAGGACCGGAGGCUGUGGAUGGUGCUUGGGCUCCAGGGAUGGCAUGAGCAUGGAAGGAUCAAGAAAGCUGAAGGGCGAAGAGUUCAAGGAAGGAGUCGAUGCUUGUCCGGUUCACUUUGGCCCAGGGAAUAAGCGGAACCCUCUGGUGACUGCCCACUUCUGUGUGUGUUGCUCUUUCGCUCAGUGCUCUCAGCCUGGAGGAAAUGAGCGACCACUCCUUCUUCAUUCCAAACAGAGUGAAGAAAAGGAAGAAUAUACCGAAAAGGCAGGGAAGAAUACACUGAAAAGGUGGGGAAGAAUUCACCAAAAAGGUGGGGAAGAAUUCACCAUAUAGGUGAGGGAAAUUCACCGCACGCAAAGCCCACGAUCAGCUGCAGAAGUGGCGAUCUAGAAUUUUUCCAAACCUGUGUGAAUUCCUGCUAGAAAUAUUAAACUGCAACAUGGAUCCAAGAGAGAAACUAGCCAUAUUAAUAAGGACCUUGCUCCUGGAGCCACACCAUGCAGCUGCAGACAAUCAACUACCUCAGCCACAGAGAGCAGCGACUCCAAGCAAUGCACUGAAGAUGAGGAGCAGGAGAAGGAUGAGCCGGACAGCAAACAGCCCGGAGGUCUCCUGGGGCAUGGUAAAGAAGACGGUACAGAAAGCUGAGUGAAUCUGUGAGUCUGCAGAUGCGGAAUGAAGAGUCUUAAGAGGACUCAAACCUUUCAGGCAGCAUUCACCAUGCAAGAUUUACUAAAGAAAAGAAACAGGGGAGAUGUUGGAAACUACCCAUUGUCUUCACUAGCAGAGAGGUGUUGACAAGGAACCCAGAAGGCUGGAGACCUUGAGCUCUGAAAGGUCAUAGCUCUGCACCCACUGUUUAGUUAAGACAAUGGUAGCUGAAGCAACUUCCACCUUUUAGUUUUAUGUAAAUCCUUGCUGAUUGCUAUUAUUGGAAUUGCCUGCCUAAGGGCUAUGGGUGUAUCCCAAAACCUGAAUAAAAGGGAUCGCAAGGCCAGAGCAAAGUGGAGUCCUUUCUCUUGAGCUGGGCUCCCGC